rnacentral:lncRNA from 1 species
ACUGCAAGAUAACAAUUAGGAAAUUCUAACUGGUUAAUAACACCCAGCCAUUCUCUUCCAGGCAUGAUAUGGUGAAAUUCUAUGGAUACACUCAUUGUAUCUCCUGGGAGAGAAGGAAGAAAUGAGGUCCUAGAUGCAGUUGUACACAAUGCUGGUAAAACAAGAAGUCCUGGUAGGACACCAACUGUGUAAUACCAAGGCCUCCACAGCAAUGCACUUAAACAAAACUGGAUGAAAUAUGGAGAGAGCAGAGGUCAUAAUUUCAGAUUUCUCAGUGUUCUCAUAGAAGAUAACUGAGAUGCAAAGCACUUACAGCAUUGUCAGUUGUCUCCUGCUGUGGACAAAUGUAAAAGGUCUAUCCCAGGCUUUUCUGUGUAUGCAUCUCCCUGCUGCAUUCCAUAGGUGUAUGUUCCAGAUGCAUGUAAGAAACAAACGAACUAUUACUGUGUAUAACACAGAGUGUAUGGGAAUAGAUAUGGACAAGCAAAAUACCUCAUUGUUAUCAAACGAAUGUUCACAGUGUGUGAGGAACUACUGUAAGGAACUGUAGCAAGAAGUAAGCUACUUUGUUUUCUUUUACUUUGCCUUGAUAAACUGGGAGUUUUAAGCAUACAUUCAAGACAUUAGCUACUUCUUGUCUGUGGUACUGUCUCGGUAUUUUGUUGUAGUAUUGUGGAAAAGUUGUGAAGGGGCCCAGUACUGUUGAUUCCUGAUUCUGCACCGACGUACAUGGAUUCUCUGCCUUCUGACAUAUUUUGCUUAGAGAAAGUUUUUUUUUACAGUGAUCUGUUUUUCAGUUAGCUCAGGACUAAAUUUGGUUCUGGUGGUUAAGGUUCAGGAUGAGAGACUGUUCCUCUUUCCCAUACAAGAGAUCUGCUCUGCUCACUUGGUUUCAUAAUGUCUGGAUUUAGAAGGGACAUGGGGAUGCUUAACCUAGGCAGAUAUUGGAGGAGUUACAGUUCUAGUUUUAUCUUCAUUCCUCUAUAAACCCAUUCCAAUAUAAAGCUGUUCAACCAAAAAGCAGCCAUUACAUUGCUAAUACUUAAAUACAUUGGACAAAUGGCAGUACAGCAGCCCAUAAUUGUUUUCUAGUUCUGCCUCACUCACAUAUUAAAACCAUCUUUGAUAGUCUCAAUGUCAUAGUUGUGAAAGGUAGCUUGAUUCUGUUGUCUCUAUUAAAUGCCACUGAUUUAAAUUAAGUGGCAGUAGGCUUUUCACUACUCAUCAGGCAGUUUACUAAUUCAGAAAAUCAAAGGCUCCUUCUUUGGUUGUACCACAAUCAUUGUGACAGUUCCAGGUAAGAGUAUUUGGCAGAAAUAGCUUGAGGGUUCAUUCUUUCCAGAAUAUUUACUUUACCUGACAUAUCUUUCCUGGGUGCCACAGUGAUUAGUCAUCUGUAUGUUAUUUAAGGGAAGUUAAGGUGUAUUAUUCUUUCCAUAGAAGAAACAGCUAGGGGGUGUGUAAUGAAAACAAAUACUAAAAGACCUUUAGUGUUGAAGACAACUUGCUAGUAAAGAAGGUGCUUGCUCAAAAUAGAACCGUGUAUGCAUGUGUACUCUAUGUAGGUCAGAGAAUAUUGGCUUCCUUCAAUAUUACCUGACAAUUUUCACUUAAGCUACUGCAAAUGAUCUCUUUCUAACCUGUAUACAUAUAAAUCUUAAACUUUGUCUGGGCUGAAAUUUUUCUUGCCUCGUAUUUCUACUAUGUUAUUGGAAACGCCUAAAAGUCUACUGUCAAAACUUGAUCUGUCCUGGAGAUGCUAGUUCCUCUUGAGAAAUACUAGUUAGUUUGUUUUCCAUGAGCUUAAAUGACAGAGGUCUGUACAAUAACUCUAAGUAUUACUAGUGAGCCAUGGAAUCAUCAGUGUGAUUCUGGCAUUUGUGGAUAACUGAAUAAAUCUGAACUCUUAGAAACUUGAUAGUCUACA